GGCGGAGCGGCCAGCGGCACCCCUCUCCUGGCAGACUAGAGCGUUUCACCUUCGCUCCACUCUGCUUCAUUUUCACACAUACGGCUUUGGGAUGGGCCCCUAAAGGGGACAGAGCCCAGGACAGAAUGUAAAUCCAUCCGUGGCUGGCAAACACACCGGGUUAAACCACCGUUGGCUUCCAAAGCUGCUCUGUCAUGAGCGCAUGACGCAGCUCCUGCUUGCGUUUCGGGGAACUUCACAUGACGACAGGAAUGUGUCCGGUUACCUGACAUGAAAGAAGUGCUGGUGUGGUGAGUUACUGACGCUGGAAUGAGUGUAAAAGUGCAAAAAAGAUCCUGAAAGAUUGAGAGGAUAAGAGUUUCCCAACAUGAACCAGCAUGGCUGAUGCAAAUCUGCUUUGCAGUUCCCUGGAAAUAUUGUAGCCAAUCCUGCUAAAUCCAUAACGUCUAUUUAAAGAAUCGUUUGCAGUUGAUGUUUGGAAUUUAUUCCAGAGGAUUGUGGAUUCAUUUUCUUAUCAGUAAAUUUUGAUCCAGUGUCAUUUAAUGCAUAAAACACCCAAAUAAAAGCUACAAUUGCACUGAAGGUAAAAAUAAAAGAUGGAAAUAUUUAGCCUGUAACAUUUUUCCUCAAAAAAGAAAACAUGUUGUAGUCCAUGCACUCCAAUAAGACUGACCCUAAGGGGGCCCCCAUUAGAACCAUUUAUGUAAGAACAUAUACAUUUUUCCGACAGCUUUGAGAAAAUGAGCAUUUAAUACAUACAUACAAUACAUACAACAAAUGGAAAAAUAUUUAUUUAUCCCUAAACAAAACAAACUUAUCAGAGAAGACCCAACGGAGCAAAGAAAUCCAUUGAUCCAUUAAAACGUCAUCACCUGAAAGACGACGUUCUUCAACGUCUAAUGAAGUAAGGAGGAUCCCAGUGUCCAGUCCAACCUUACAUUUAGCCUCAUCUUUGCUAUUUUCCCAUCGUAUAUAUCAUUUUUCUAAACUCCACUGGAUCCCUUCCUUCCUGCUUUGACCAGUUUUUUAAAAGGCAAAAACAAUAGAGUGGCCAAUGUUUGAUAGACUGAAGCAGCCAAUGAGAUAAUGUGCUUUCACACCGACAACCUUCUGGCACUGGUUCAGUUAUGGGGCCUCGGAAUGCUGAUGGUUUGUGAUGCUAAGCAGAAUGAAAACAGGAGGAUGAUCCUCCUACAUAGCACCGAGACCAUGAAACUCAUAAUGUCAUGUUCUCAAAAGAGGAACCCAGGGACAACCCCGCGACUUCUUCCUGCAGGCAGGUUUGACAGAGUUAUGCCUUCAGUGUUUACAGUCUUUCAAAGCCUUUAACUCUUAAACCGUUUACACAAUUAACGUAAUUCUGGCCAAUUCUGAAGUGGAGAAAAGCAGCUUUGCGCUUUAGGAGCAAAUACUGCAGUAGUUACACUAAAUGCAUGAGCGGUCGAAGAAUUACAGUACCGGUACUUCAGACAGAGUGUUACUUUGUGUUGCUGGCGACACAUCAGGUGUUAAAGUGUUAAAGCAAAAGUAACUGGUUCCAAAUUAAACCAAGAAAUGAAAGAUUAGUAAUAAAUACGUCCCUUUAACUGCUCUGUAGAAUGGACGGUCCAACAAUUGUAAGGUCUGUUUAUUCUGCCUAUUUUCCCCAUUUUGGAAACACCAGGGUUUAGUUACCAACAUGGCAAUCAUCACAAAACUGAAGAACUGGCUUCAAAUCAGUACAACACAACCAAUGCACCAAUGGCUGACGGGACAAGACCCCUUCAUAUCAUGUUCUACAGAGCCCAUGUCCAUUUUUAUUUUUUACAGAUAUCUUCACUUCACUUAUAGCUAAUUAUCCAAAUCAGAAAUUUGACCAGGUAAAAGCAGCAGUACGGCUGCCCCCCUCCCCCCUCUCUCUUUAAAACCAGAGAUGUCACCAGUGACACUUAAAUAACAUGUUUCUUGACAAAUAGUAACCAUAAUUCAUUGUUACCGUCAUCAGGGUGAAAGUGCUGCGAACGGUUCAAGGAUUACGGACGUUCAAGGAUUCACAUUUUGAACUGUUCAAAUAAUUUUUGGGUGUUUUGGGAUCAACUUUUCAAAAUCAGAACAGUUUUUUGUCAUCUGACCGAGCUGGCCCGGUCAACGUUGGGUUUCAGUGUGAAAAGAAACAAGUUCAUGAUUUUAUUGAAACCUCAGAUGAAGGAGAUAAGCAAAAAACUCUCCGCCUCCUGAGACAAGAAUCCGUUUAGUUUUAUUUAAAGAUGAAUUGGUCCUUUUAGGUCAAGAACUGAAUGAGGUAACCAUUACUCGAUACAAUCUAAAUAGUACUUUUUAAAGGUAAAGCUAUAAAAGUAGUGUUUGUCUUUUCUCAGUCCUUUCAAACGCAUUUAAUCAUGGCUGACACUUGUACCGUUCUGGGUCGUUCCUUCGAUGUCGACGGACAGAUUAUCUAUGGAACAAGUUUGCCGUUGAGAGACAGAAUUUGUUUCGUUUAGCAUCCUUUCAUGCUUGUGUGCCAUCAGUCGCCCAAAACAAACCAUAGAGAAGCUGCAAACUGUGUGAUGCAGACGAGGAGCGCACCUCUGCCAGAGCCUGGUUACAGCGCUAUAAUUAGACACUCCGUCGUCAAACUUGUUGCCUGUAUCCGUGGCUUUGAAAGACGAGAAAAGGAGAAGAGGAUGGCAGCCUGAGAGAGAGGUGCCAUCUCCAGCAAAUCAAAGGAAUAAAAAGAAAUACGUUCAGAGAAAGCUGACAGGUCGGAGAGGCUUUUACAGCCUGUUGGAGAGGCUGAAUGGGAUAUGAGUCAGCUCAGUCCCCUCUAAAGACCUUGCCCCCCGUCCCAUUCACCUCAGGUGAACCCUAAUGGGCUGUAAAAAAAAAACGUCUCACACAGUUCUUCACCGCCUCCACUGAUGUUUCCGAGCAGCAGUCAGACAGCCGAGGAGCACUCUGGAAGUGAAGUGGGAGCGCCCAGAACUCCUGAAUGAUCGGGCCAAACAGCCUGAGGUCAACCAUCAAAGAAGUGCCUGCUUGAGUGUACAGCUCAGAUCUGGGUUGGCAGCAUUCUCACGCACAACUCCUGACGACUUGGAGGCGUCGUUCUGCCUGAAGGCUACUUUUCUUGCUGAAACAAACCAUUUAAUGUUGACGAUCCUUAAGCUACAUUGCCAGCCGAAAUGCAGCAUCACAGGCGUGGAACCAGCCUCCCCACAGCUAAGCGGCGAUGCAGGCCCCCAUCCAUCCAGAGCAGCGGUGGCUGAACCGCAGCCGCCCCAGAGGGAGAGAUUCCAACUGAAGAUAGACACAUUUCAGCACAAAUGUUUGUGGAUCUGCAGCCGUCAGGGUCAUGUGAUGAGGCCAGAGAGCGGCGAGCAGGAGCCGCCGCCGCCACCGGUUGAAUCUAGCAAGAGGAGCCCUCCAGCCUCUGAACUCCCGAGGCCUUGUUUUUAUUCCCACGUCUGCUGCUGCUCUUGCAUAAGAAGAGGAUGAGCGCCCCAAGUCAACAUGGUAUUCUGGGAAAAUACCAUAGUUCUCCCUGGUGUACUGUGAGAACAUCCAAAGGUAUUUCUGAGAAAAAAAAGACCAAAUCCAGGGAACGUCUUGUGUUUGCACAACAAAUAAAGCAAAACUGUUCCAGUC